AAAAUGCGAUAAGUAAUGUGAAUUGCAGAAUUCAGUGAAUCAUCGAAUCUUUGAACACACAUUGCGCCCGCCAGUAUUCUGGCGGGCAUGCCUGUUCGAGCGUCAUUUCAACCCUCAAGCCCCCGGGUUUGGUGUUGGGGAUCGGGCUGCGGUUCUACCGCGUCCCGGCCCCGAAAUCUAGUGGCGGUCUCGCUGCAGCCUCCAUUGCGUAGUAGCUAACACCUCGCAACUGGAACGCGGCGCGGCCAAGCCGUUAAACCCCCAACUUCUGAAUGUUGACCUCGGAUCAGGUAGGAAUACCCGCUGAACUUAAGCA
rnacentral:misc_RNA from 1 species